UUUCUGGAGACCCAUGUUAAGACAGCUAAACCGAGAGGUGGGACAGUCUUAGGUUCCCACCUUUUCCAGGUCACAAAGCUGAAGCCGGGGUUGCUCUGGGAGAAGACACCACAGAAGUGCCUUCAAGAUGAGCUGAGGGCUCCCUCCCUCGCCUGCGCAGGGCCUGCAUUCAGUGAGGAUAGCUUCCAGAGCCCCUGCAUGAGUGUGCAGGAUUAGGGAAGUGCUCGUGGGGGGUGGUCAUGCCUAUCUCUCUGCUGCAUUGCUGUUCUGUUAAACCAGGUCCUACCAUGUGAGUAAUGAGAUCAGAGGAGCAAGAGAGCUCAGAGCUGAAGGACUGUGCUAACUCACUGCCGUGAUGGCUGACUGCUGAGCACCAUCCCAGGCUUGCUCGACCUGCAAACACGCUUGUUCAGGAACUGGAGCAUGGCCACCUUGGCCAUUUGGUUUCUGAGUCUUCAAAUGGUUGUGGCCCACACGGUUAGAGCUCAGGGUUGCUGGUGAGAACUGCUGUGAGUUCCAGAGCACUUACAAGGUAAGGGCCCUGGCAGCUUCCCUGCUUUGGGUGGUGGUUUCUUUUUUCUUUUCUUUUUUUUUGUGAGAGAUGUACAUAUUUUAAUAUAUAUAAAGCUAAGAAAAGAACAGUCCC
rnacentral:lncRNA from 1 species